rnacentral:rRNA from 1 species
GAUGAACGCUGGCGGCGUGCCUAAUACAUGCAAGUCGAGCGAACGGACGAGAAGCUUGCUUCUCUGAUGUUAGCGGCGGACGGGUGAGUAACACGUGGAUAACCUACCUAUAAGACUGGGAUAACUUCGGGAAACCGGAGCUAAUACCGGAUAAUAUUUUGAACCGCAUGGUUCAAAAGUGAAAGACGGUCUUGCUGUCACUUAUAGAUGGAUCCGCGCUGCAUUAGCUAGUUGGUAAGGUAACGGCUUACCAAGGCAACGAUGCAUAGCCGACCUGAGAGGGUGAUCGGCCACACUGGAACUGAGACACGGUCCAGACUCCUACGGGAGGCAGCAGUAGGGAAUCUUCCGCAAUGGGCGAAAGCCUGACGGAGCAACGCCGCGUGAGUGAUGAAGGUCUUCGGAUCGUAAAACUCUGUUAUUAGGGAAGAACAUAUGUGUAAGUAUCUGAGCACAUCUUGACGGUACCUAAUCAGAAAGCCACGGCUAACUACGUG